rnacentral:lncRNA from 1 species
GCUAAUUCUCCGACGAGUAUGCAGAUUUUCAUCUUGCCUUUGCUUGGGUUUAUUUGUUUUACUUUGCAAUAAAUUUAAUACAGACUCCCUGAAGCAGAGAGGCAGAUGGACUAUAAACUCUGCAUUUUGAGCAGCCGUACUUACUAGAGGCUAACGAGGAGGCCGAGGAGCCUGGCUGGGCACUAUGGGAAGAUGGAAAAGCAAGAGAGUUGGGCUUCUAUGCGAUUCAGUGAUGACGUCAUUAGCACUGUAUCACACGCCUCCUGCAAGGUCUGAAGCCAGACCCCAUGGACCUAUGUGGGAUCCUUCUGCCUUCCUUGGAGGACAUGUAUGAGUAAAAGUCUUGGGGAACUUGGAGCCUAGGGGAGGAAAACUCAGAUACACGCA